rnacentral:rRNA from 1 species
GACGAACGCUGGCGGCAUGCCUAACACAUGCAAGUCGAGCGAGCUGAUCCCUUCGGGGUGAAGCUAGCGGCGGACGGGUGAGUAACACGUGGGCAACCUGCCUCAUAGAGGGGAAUAGCCUCCCGAAAGGGAGACUAAUACCGCAUAAGAUUGUAGCUUCGCAUGAAGUAGCAAUUAAAGGAGCAAUCCGCUAUGAGAUGGGCCCGCGGUGCAUUAGCUAGUUGGUGAGGUAACGGCUCACCAAGGCGACGAUGCUGAGCCGACCUGAGGGGGUGAUCGGCCACAUUGGGACUGAGACACGGCCCAGACUCCUACGGGAGGCAGCAGUGGGGAAUAUUGCACAAUGGGGGAAACCCUGAUGCAGCAAUGCCGCGUGAGUGAUGACGGCCUUCGGGUUGUAAAGCUCUGUCUUCAGGGACGAUAAUGACGGUAUUAUAUGAAUAAGCACCGGCUAACUCCGUGCCAGCCGCCGCAGUAA